CACGUAGGGUGCGAGCGUUGUCCGGAAUUAUUGGGCGUAAAGAGCUCGUAGGCGGUGUGUCGCGUCGGCCGUGAAAACUUACAGCUUAACUGUGAGCGUGCGGUCGAUACGGGCAUCACUGGAGUUCGGCAGGGGAGACUGGAAUUCCUGGUGUAGCGGUGAAAUGCGCAGAUAUCAGGAGGAACACCGGUGGCGAAGGCGGGUCUCUGGGCCGAUACUGACGCUGAGGAGCGAAAGCAUGGGGAGCGAACAGG
rnacentral:rRNA from 1 species